UGGGGAAUAUUGCACAAUGGGCGCAAGCCUGAUGCAGCCAUGCCACGUGUAUGAAGAAGGCCUUCGGGUUGUAAAGUACUUUCAGUCGGGAGGAAGGUGGUAAGGUUAAUAACCUUAUCAAUUGACGUUACCGACAGAAGAAGCACCGGCUAACUCCGUGCCAGCAGCCGCGGUAAUACGGAGGGUGCAAGCGUUAAUCGGAAUUACUGGGCGUAAAGCGCACGCAGGCGGUUGAUUGAGUCAGAUGUGAAAUCCCCGGGCUUAACCCGGGAAUUGCAUCUGAUACUGGUCAGCUAGAGUCUUGUAGAGGGGGGUAGAAUUCCAUGUGUAGCGGUGAAAUGCGUAGAGAUGUGGAGGAAUACCGGUGGCGAAGGCGGCCCCCUGGACGAAGACUGACGCUCAGGUGCGAAAGCGUGGGGAGCAAACAGG
rnacentral:rRNA from 1 species